rnacentral:misc_RNA from 1 species
GUGAAUCAUCAAAUUUUUGAACGCAAAUUGCACUCUUUGGUAUUCCGGAGAGUAUGCCUGUUUGAGGGUCAGUUUAAAUAAAAAUCGGUGUGGUUGUUGCCUUUAGUGGUGACGCAGCGGUUUUGGGUCGUCUUGAGUUCGGUUAAGUGACUUUAAUAUUUGCAUGUUUUUUUUCGCACGUAUUUAGAUGAUUUUCUGUUUAUUUGCGUUAUUGUAUAUUAGGUGUGAACAUCUUAAUACUUG